GCUGUGUAGCUUAAAUAAAGCAUAACACUGAAGGAUGUU
rnacentral:tRNA from 1 species